CUAUUUUUUAAUUUAUGAAAAAAUGAAAGUAAAAUCUAGCUCUCUUCAGAGUGAAUUAUAUCUUUUAUCUGGACAGGCCCAGGUGUAAAAUACCAGUGACAUAAUUAGAAAUCUCAUAGGUGGAUGUUAUCAAUUGUAUUCAGAGUUGAAAACAUGUUACUAUUCUGUCUCUGAGGAUAUUCAUACGAUAGAGCCAAAUCAGUGUCUAGAAAGUUAUUGGUCUAGAUUAGACCUGGACAUGGCAGUCUACAGCCUCUUCUAUGAACAUAAAGGACAGUUAUGGUGAAAUUGUCCUUAUCCUUUACAAAAUGCAUCUCUCUCAUUUUGCAUCAUCAGCUACCACUUCACUAAGAAAUGAAGUAUUUCAAGCACAUUUAAAAAAUUCUGAGAAAUUCCUUGUGGCUUUAUAUAUUACUCAGAGGAUAUAUCAUUUAUGAUGAGCUUCCCAAUCUCUCCUCAAGAUCAACUCAAAGUGAUGUAAG